AUUCGUAUUAUUAUUUUUAUUUUCAAUCAAAUUAUAUCCUGAGACACUCGUGUUUAUCAAUACAUUUCUGUAUACUAUUUUUGAGUUCUCUAUCGUUGACAUGUAAUCAACCACUGUUGCAACAUUUAAAUCAAUAACACAAACUAUUUCACAGUUGGUUUGCCUAUAAAGGUGAGUUUCCCAUCCGGCGACAGCGUUAUUGUUCUACAAUAUAUGCAAGUAGAUUUAUACUGUUCUUGGUUUUAAUUAUGUUGUUUAUUAACAUAAACUAGUUUUUUGGUACUAGGAUUAAAAGUGUGUAAUCCAUACGCAUUUGACUCUUUGUCAGACAUACGACAUUUUUUUUUAAAUCGCAUAUCUUGCACUUUGAAACAAAUUCAAUACUGUAGCUAUAUUUACACAAAUGUUUUUCGCAAACAAUCUUAAUUAAAUUUCGAUAUCAGUAUUGGCUGUCUCUGAUUUUACAAAGUCUUUUAUAUUCGAAUAGUUACACAGAAUAGCAACAAAUAUACCCUUUGAUGAGGUAAAAGUCGUCGCAAGGUAUUGAACUAUGGUCUUUGAUAUCAAAGUAUUUAGCCUAAGAUAUGUAGGUAUGAUCACAACCAAGAAACUCAGUAGCAUCAAGGAAAGUAAUAUUCCAGUUGUUGUUAAAUUAUUUAUGAUUUUCGAUUCUUGCAAUAAACGUUGAGAAACUCUUUGAUAAUGCCGCCAUGACGACAAACUGAUUAAUACUAUGAUAGACACAAAACAAAGGAUCUUUGGAACGUGUACAAUCCAAAUCGAGGCCAGAUGCAUGUGACCAUUCCAACAUGUGACCUUGUGAUUCAAUAUUAAUGUAAUUGUCCAUAAUACGGUUGGUAAAACAGGCAAACCCCAACCUGCGAUGACGUAAGCUUUGUAUCCGGAUAUACACAGAAAUCCUGACUUUGCCGUCAUGUAAAUAAAGUGGGAAUCUAUAACAAUCCACAUAAGAAUUGAUAUGUCCGCAUACUGGUGAAAAGCUGUUAAGAUCUCACAUACAACAGGUUUCUGUACUGUGGCUAAAAACGAACGACUGAUUGUCAAAAAUAUUGAUAUUUGGAAAAUAAGUUUGAUAAUUAAUUCCAACAUUACGGCUGCGAAUAAAUGUUUGUGAAUUUUUACCCUUAGGAUAUUAUUGAUAUAUUUUGGAAGCUUACAUUUAUACAGCCAAAAAGAUAAGCACAACGCUAUUAAAGAAAGAAGAAUAAAACUUAUUCCAAGUAUACUGGAUUUUCGAAUCACAUUCUGUAGAUCGUUUAUAUAAUCUUUACCAUAUUCCUGUAAUGUCGGCUUGUCAGUCAGGAUGCAUGACUCGUAAUUCGUUUUUUCAACCACUAAACUGUUGUUAAAAUUUUCCCAUAAUCCACCCAGACUACAUUUCCGGAAUACAAACAUGUUGUCAUUAAAUCCUUGUAAUGGAGGACACGGUUGUGCUAUUUUUCUUCCAGGGGGCGUUGCAGGCCAGCACAACAAUCCAUCGUGUACUGGGUUACAGAAAUACUGACUUGCAUCAUUAUGUUUGGACGCCGAAGACAUAACGGAAGUGCAGUCAACUGAAUUAUAAAACAAUGUCUGUGUAAAAUUUUCCAUUUUAAGUUAUCUGCCUACAUGUACCUACAAAUUAUACAUAGUAAUAGUAAAAAUACA
rnacentral:lncRNA from 1 species